UUCUAGCCCCGAUUGCCGCGAUAUCCUUUUUUAUUUUUCUUUAAAAUAAAAAAGAUAAAGCAAAAAGCGGGACAAGAG
rnacentral:sRNA from 1 species